GUCUAUAGCCAUACCACCCUGAACAAGCCUGAUCUCAUCUGAUCUUGAAGGAUAAGCAGGGUCGGGCCUGGUUAGUACUUGGAUGGGAGACCUGCCUGGGAAUAAUGGGUGCUGUAGGCU
ensembl:rRNA 5S_rRNA 5S ribosomal RNA